rnacentral:rRNA from 1 species
CCUACGGUGGCUGCAGUAAGGAAUAUUGGUCAAUGGACGCAAGUCUGAACCAGCCAUGCCGCGUGGAGGAUUAAGGCCCUCUGGGUUGUAAACUCCUUGUAUCUGGGAAGAAAUGUACUUUUUCUUGAGUACUUGACGGUACCAGAGGAAUAAGCACCGGCUAACUCCGUGCCAGCAGCCGCGGUAAUACGGAGGGUGCAAGCGUUAACCGGAUUCACUGGGUUCGUAGGUGGGCAGGUUAGUCAGUGGUGAAAUCUCCGGGCUUAACCCGGAAACUGCCGUUGAUACUAUUUGUCUUGAAGAUUGUGGAGGUAAGCGGAAUAUGUCAUGUAGCGGUGAAAUGCUUAGAUAUGACAUAGAACACCAAUUGCGAAGGCAGCUUACUACACAAUCAUUGACGCUGAGGCACGAAAGCGUGGGGAUCAAACAGGAUUAGAUACCCGUGUAGUC